rnacentral:rRNA from 1 species
GACGAACGCUGGCGGCGUGCCUAAUACAUGCAAGUAGAACGCUGAAGAGAGGAGCUUGCUCUUCUUGGAUGAGUUGCGAACGGGUGAGUAACGCGUAGGUAACCUGCCUUGUAGCGGGGGAUAACUAUUGGAAACGAUAGCUAAUACCGCAUAACAAUGGAUGACACAUGUCAUUUAUUUGAAAGGGGCAAUUGCUCCACUACAAGAUGGACCUGCGUUGUAUUAGCUAGUAGGUGAGGUAAUGGCUCACCUAGGCGACGAUACAUAGCCGACCUGAGAGGGUGAUCGGCCACACUGGGACUGAGACACGGCCCAGACUCCUACGGGAGGCAGCAGUAGGGAAUCUUCGGCAAUGGGGGCAACCCUGACCGAGCAACGCCGCGUGAGUGAAGAAGGUUUUCGGAUCGUAAAGCUCUGUUGUAAGUCAAGAACGGGGGUGAGAGUGGAAAGUUCACACUGUGACGGUAGCUUACCAGAAAGGGACGGCUAACUACGUG